UACGGGAGGCAGCAGUGGGGAAUUUUCCGCAAUGGGCGAAAGCCUGACGGAGCAAUACCGCGUGAGGGAAGACGGCCUAUGGGUUGUAAACCUCUUUUUUCAGGGAGGAGUCAAUGACGUGUACCUGAAGAAUAAGCAUCGGCUAACUCCGUGCCAGCAGCCGCGGUAAU
rnacentral:rRNA from 1 species